ensembl:sense_intronic
UUUUUUCCCUUUUUUUUUUUUUUUUUUUUUUUUCCCUCUGAGACAGAGUUUCUGUAGCCCUGGCNNNNNNNNNNNNNNNNNNNNNNGAACUCAGAAAUCCGCCUGCCUCUGCCUCCCGAGUGCUGGGAUUAAAGGCGUUAUGCUACCAUGCCCGGCUGUGCUGGGGGGGGGGGUGUUUCUCAUCUUUUAUUACUCUUAUUUUUUAUCCAUAGGUUAGGAGAGUCCACUCAUAUAAAGCACUUGGGUAGAGAAUGGCUGUGUUUAAAUAUCAGGCACUUUGGAAUGAAUACUGAAAGGGAAGAAAUAAUGAUGAAGAAGAGAAUGAAUUGCAAAGUGCUUCUGAGGUUUCUCAUUUCUUACAGUUGAGACAUUUUCCUAAUAAUAUGUGUCUUCCAUGUCUUUUGACAUUUCCAGUUUACUUGAAUUAAUAUUAUGUUCUUAAAUAUAAAGUAAGUCUUGAGGAUUCUGUUAUUUUCCCUUAGUAGAGUUGGAGGUCUCCAUGGCAGCAAAGAACAGUAAAGUUGCUAAAAUAGUAGGACAGUCUUGUUUUGUUUUGCUGAGGUAGGUUUUUACAUAUCCCUGGCUGGCUGUGUAGUCACUGAGGUCCUCUUUCUGCCUCCUGAGAUACGAUAGAAGCCAUGUGCCACCAAGACUUGCCUUUGUGAGAGCUUUAAAUGAUGUUUUUAUAGCUUAAGAGUUAUUUGAAACUGACUUCUGUGAUUCUUCUACUCUAUUACAGUUUCUUGAUAUUUUUCUCCUCUCUUUUUGUUAAGGGAAUGGUAAUAGUGCUGAGAGUAUUAGACUAUAGAAUAGAAUAGAAGAAUUGUUGAAAUGUAAGUUAAGUUAUAUUUGUAAGUUACCUUAUAAUUAGCAAAUUGCUUUCUUGAGCAACGUGUUUUGAUGCUUGAAAUCACUUGAUAGAAUAUGUAAUAUUGCUAUUUAUAAGGAAAAGGUGGUGAGUCAUUUUCUUAUGCAUGUGUUAAUUGGAAGUUGAUUCAUACUGUUGCUUAUAAAUUUACACUCUUCAUUAUCUAUAGCAACACCAAAAAGAUGGUUAGAUAUUACCUGAAAAGUUAGUUUUGUUGUAGUUUCUAGUAUGUUUGCCAGAUUGUUCUGCUAUCACCUCUAAUUCUCCGUGUUUUCAUGGUUUCAAAAAUAUAACAUUGGCAUCAUUUUCUAUUUUCUUUUAUUCUGACUCUUGUGUCAUACUCUGAACUUUUUUUUUUUUUUUUUUUGGUACAUAAAAUAUGUGACCUUUUAUGCCUGCCCUUUCUUCACUUAGUCUAUAGGUAUGUCUAUUAUAACUUAAUUACUUCUAUGGCUGCAUAAUAUUUCAUUGUAUAGAGUUCUCUUUCUUUUUUCUUCUUUUGAAGAUAGGGACUUGACGUGUAGUCUGGUCUAGAGUCCACUGUGUAGCUCAGGCUGGCUCAGACUAAUUUUGUACUUCACGCUCACAUGGUAGGAUUACAGGCAGGCACCCCAAGCCUGUUUCUGACUUUGUAUCUAUGGUGAUAGUGCUGAGAGUCUUAGACUGUACUAUGUGUCUUCAUGUAUUAGUUGAUGGCUAUUUCAAUUUCUACUUUUUGCCUGUAAGGAAAUAAUAGUAAUACAAGCUUCUCUCUAUAAUAGUGGUUCUCCCCCUUCUACCCUUUAAAACACCUCCUCAUGUUGUGCUGACCCCCAAACAUAACUGAAAUUUUGCUAGUUAUGAAUUUUAAUUUAAAUACCUGAUAUCCAGAAUAUCUGAUAGGCAACCAUUAUGAAAUGUCAUUUAAUCCCCAAAGGGCUCUCGGCCCACAGUUUGAGAACCACUGGUCUAUAACCAAUUUUUGUGUGUAAGUUAUUUCUCUAAGAUAAAGGUAAAAAUAAACCUGAAUAGGACAAAACAAAUGGACAAGGAAACAAAACAAAACAAGAACCAAGGAAUAAACACAAAUACGUGCAGAUGGAGAGGCACACAUAGUCACACCUUUUUUUUUUUGUUUUGUUUUAAAAACAAAACUCAGACAAAACAUGAUAUC